rnacentral:lncRNA from 1 species
GUCUUGCAGAUGGAAGUUGUAGUUAGGGUGGCGAGACCACUGUGUGGCAGGAGCAAGACAGACCCAGGCCUGAGUGGCUUCCCGGUCGGCCUCUUUGAACUGUUCCUGUUCCUUGGGGACAGGGAGGAGAAGGGACAUGGCUCAGGAAGUAGGCCCCUCUGACCCUGAGGCUCUUAGUGAGGGUGGGAAGAGUAGAGACUUGACUUCUCUGGGAGGGGGGUCUUCAGCCUCCAGCCCUGCCUGGCUGGCCUCGUGACCACCCACAUCCUGCCCUUU